rnacentral:rRNA from 1 species
CAAUAAUUCCGGAUAACGCUUGCCACCUACGUAUUACCGCGGCUGCUGGCACGUAGUUAGCCGUGGCUUUCUGAUUAGGUACCGUCAAGAUGUGCACAGUUACUUACACAUAUGUUCUUCCCUAAUAACAGAGUUUUACGAUCCGAAGACCUUCAUCACUCACGCGGCGUUGCUCCGUCAGGCUUUCGCCCAUUGCGGAAGAUUCCCUACUGCUGCCUCCCGUAGGAGUCUGGACCGUGUCUCAGUUCCAGUGUGGCCGAUCACCCUCUCAGGUCGGCUAUGCAUCGUUGCCUUGGUAAGCCGUUACCUUACCAACUAGCUAAUGCAGCGCGGAUCCAUCUAUAAGUGACAGCAAGACCGUCUUUCACUUUUGAACCAUGCGGUUCAAAAUAUUAUCCGGUAUUAGCUCCGGUUUCCCGAAGUUAUCCCAGUCUUAUAGGUAGGUUAUCCACGUGUUACUCACCCGUCCGCCGCUAACAUCAGAGAAGCAAGCUUCUCGUCCGUUCGCUCGACUUGCAUGUAUUAGGCACGCCGCCAGCGUUCAUCCUGAGCCAGGAUCAAACUCUC